AGAGUUUGAUCAUGGCUCAGAUUGAACGCUGGCGGCAUGCCUUACACAUGCAAGUCGAACGCGAAAGCGGGGCAACCCGCAAGUAGAGUGGCGAACGGGUGAGUAAUACAUCGGAACGUGUCCAGUAGCGGGGGAUAACCUCUCGAAAGAGAGGCUAAUACCGCAUACGACCUACGGGUGAAAGAGGGGGAUCCAAGGGUAACUGAGGACCUCUCACUAUUGGAGCGGCCGAUGUCGGAUUAGCUAGUUGGCGGGGUAACGGCCCACCAAGCUACGAUCCGUAGCUGGUCUGAGAGGACGACCAGCCACACUGGAACUGAGACACGGUCCAGACUCCUACGGGAGGCAGCAGUGGGGAAUUUUGGACAAUGGGCGCAAGCCUGAUCCAGCCAUGCCGCGUGAGUGAGGAAGGCCUUCGGGUUGUAAAGCUCUUUCGGCUGGGACGAAAAGGUUCGUGUGAAUACCACGGAUCCAUGACGGUACCAGCAGAAGAAGCACCGGCUAACUACGUGCCAGCAGCCGCGGUAAUACGUAGGGUGCAGGCGUUAAUCGGAAUUACUGGGCGUAAAGCGUGCGCAGGCGGUUUGCUAAGGGAGAUGUGAAAUCCCCGGGCUUAACCUGGGAACUGCGUUUCUAACUGGCAGGCUUGAGUGUGGCAGAGGGGGGUGGAAUUCCAGGUGUAGCAGUGAAAUGCGUAGAUAUCUGGAGGAACACCGAUGGCGAAGGCAGCCCCUGGGCUAACACUGACGCUCAUGCACGAAAGCGUGGGGAGC
rnacentral:rRNA from 1 species